AGACCCGAAACCCGGUGAUCUAGCCAUGGGCAGGUUGAAGGUUGGGUAACACUAACUGGAGGACCGAACCGACUAAUGUUGAAAAAUUAGCGGAUGACCUGUGGCUGGGGGUGAAAGGCCAAUCAAACCGGGAGAUAGCUGGUUCUCCCCGAAAGCUAUUUAGGUAGCGCCUCGUGAAUUCAUCUCCGGGGGUAGAGCACUGUUUCGGCUAGGGGGCCAUCCCGGCUUACCAACCCGAUGCAAACUGCGAAUACCGGAGAAUGUUAUCACGGGAGACACACGGCGGGUGCUAACGUCCGUCGUGAAGAGGGAAACAACCCAGACCGCCAGCUAAGGUCCCAAAGUCAUGGUUAAGUGGGAAACGAUGUGGGAAGGCCCAGACAGCCAGGAUGUUGGCUUAGAAGCAGCCAUCAUUUAAAGAAAGCGUAAUAGCUCACUGGUCGAGUCGGCCUGCGCGGAAGAUGUAACGGGGCUAAACCAUGCACCGAAGCUGCGGCAGCGACACUCAGGUGUUGUUGGGUAGGGGAGCGUUCUGUAAGCCUGUGAAGGUGGCCUGUGAGGGUUGCUGGAGGUAUCAGAAGUGCGAAUGCUGACAUAAGUAACGAUAAAGCGGGUGAAAAGCCCGCUCGCCGGAAGACCAAGGGUUCCUGUCCAACGUUAAUCGGGGCAGGGUGAGUCGACCCCUAAGGCGAGGCCGAAAGGCGUAGUCGAUGGGAAACGGGUUAAUAUUCCCGUACUUGGUGUUACUGCGAAGGGGGGACGGAGAAGGCUAUGUUGGCCGGGCGACGGUUGUCCCGGUUUAAGCGUGUAGGUGUGUGUUCCAGGUAAAUCCGGUUCACUUUAACACUGAGGCGUGAUGACGAGGCACUACGGUGCUGAAGCAACAAAUGCCCUGCUUCCAGGAAAAGCCUCUAAGCAUCAGGUAACAUCAAAUCGUACCCCAAACCGACACAGGUGGUCAGGUAGAGAAUACCAAGGCGCUUGAGAGAACUCGGGUGAAGGAACUAG
rnacentral:rRNA from 1 species